UACAGAGGGGGCAAGCGUUAUUCGGAAUUACUGGGCGUAAAGCGUGCGCAGGCGGUGAUGUAAGACCGAUGUGAAAUCCCCGGGCUUAACCUGGGAACUGCAUUGGUGACUGCAUUGCUGGAGUAUGGCAGAGGGGGGUGGAAUUCCACGUGUAGCAGUGAAAUGCGUAGAGAUGUGGAGGAACACCGAUGGCGAAGGCAGCCCCCUGGGCCAAUACUGACGCUCAUGCACGAAAGCGUGGGGAGCAAACAGG
rnacentral:rRNA from 1 species